AACGAACGCUGGCGGCAUGCCUAACACAUGCAAGUCGAACGAGACCUUCGGGUCUAGUGGCGCACGGGUGCGUAACGCGUGGGAACCUGCCCUUAGGUUCGGAAUAACUCCCCGAAAGGGGUGCUAAUACCGGAUAAUGUCUUCGGACCAAAGAUUUAUCGCCUUUGGAUGGGCCCGCGUUGGAUUAGCUAGUUGGUAGGGUACAAGCCUACCAAGGCGACGAUCCAUAGCUGGUCUGAGAGGAUGAUCAGCCACACUGGGACUGAGACACGGCCCAGACUCCUACGGGAGGCAGCAGUGGGGAAUAUUGGACGAUGGGCGAAAGCCUGACCCAGCCAUGCCGCGUGAGUGAUGAAGGCGUUAGGGUUGUACAGCUCUUUUACCCGGGAGGAUAAUGACAGUACCGGGAGAAUAAGCGCCGGCUAACUCCGUG
rnacentral:rRNA from 1 species